GACAGAGGGUGCAACCGUUGUUCGGAAUUACUGGGCGUAAAGCGCGCGCAGGCGGUCUUCCAAGUCAGUGGUGAAAGCCCGGAGCUCAACUCCGGAACUGCCAUUGAAACUGUUAGACUUGAGGAUGAGAGAGGUGAGUGGAAUUCCCAGUGUAGAGGUGAAAUUCGUAGAUAUUGGGAAGAACACCGGUGGCGAAGGCGGCUCACUGGCUCAUUACUGACGCUCAGGCGCGAUAGCGUGGGGAUCAAACAGG
rnacentral:rRNA from 1 species